AAGUCGUAACAAGGUCUCCGUUGGUGAACCAGCGGAGGGAUCAUUAACACGUAUCCACGUAUACACCAAACGCGAACUCGGAGGCUGAUCUUGAUGCAUUAACUUGUGUCAAGUGAAGUCACCAUUCUCCCUAUGCAUGUACAGUCGUGAAUUCAUUCAGCUCGUGGUGGGAGUUGCUUGCAACUCAGCUGGUGGUUUGCACAGAAGUCGCAAGACUUCUAGGCUGUCAUGUCUAGGCUAAUUUUUCCACCACGGAUACCAACCAAUAUAACCUUUUUUAUUCCAGUUUGACUGAUGUUUUGAUAUGUUUAACGACAUGUCAACCAUGUAUAUCAAAUGCAAAGCACAACUCUUAGCAACGGAUAUCUUGGUUCUC
rnacentral:misc_RNA from 1 species